rnacentral:lncRNA from 1 species
AUGGCGGAUUGUUUACAUUUGGCAGCGCCCGGGCUGCGCCGACCGCCGGCCCCAAGCAGCCGCGGGCCCCGAGGAGUCGGCCGAGCUGCCCCCGCGCCCUGGCCGGAAAAAAUGGUUUCCUCUGCGGAAUCCUUCCAGCAUCAUCGGCAUGCAACUGACAUACUUCCUUUGUACGGAGAAAAACAAAUCCUUAGGUCCUUCAAGUUAACCUCAGUUUUCCUUUCAAUAAAACUUAAAAAAAAAUGUUUAGUGCAUUCAGCAGUUUGCUUUUUCUUUCUCUUGCUUCCUCUGUCCAGAACCUUAGUUAAUAUCUGUGUCCUAUUUGGGAAAAAAUCACAGCCAGGACUGGCUGUGGAACAGAGCAGGACUGCAGUUGGUGAUAUUUCAGGAGCCUUGACUGGGGACCAGGGCAACAGAACCAGGCCCAUUUGCUUUUCUUGCAUAGGUCUUUUUGAGGCUCUGACAUCACACUGCUGCUGAAUGCACCAUCGUAAAUCCUACAGUGAGUUGAUUUGUUACCUGAGAAAGACAAUGCUGAGAUUAAAAACAAUCUUUUGCAUUAUCAUAGCAAUCAUACCUUUUUUAUACAAAAAAGGAUUCAAGUGAAUGAAUUCUUGAUUCGUAAUUUUUAUUAUACCCUGUGGAAGGCCCAUCUGGAAUAAGAUAUGCACCUACUGUUUCUCUUAUUCCCCUUGAAGGAGGCAAACACUAGGUGAUAGGUUUUCCUUUGUUAGAUGACACCGAAUUAUGUCUAUUUUUGGCUUAAUCACCAAAGCAACUUUCUAUCCAACUCAUUACAUCUUUAGUAAAGUAAAACUGAUUUCAUUAUUUGGCAGGUAUAGCCCAUCACUUUACCAUCCCACUACUCAGUUCUUUUUGACCCAUCGACAUUUUAAAAAGUAAGGUUUAUCUUCAGAGAGCAGAAUAGAAAUGGGAAUGGGUAGCAAGUUUUAGCUAACUCAAGAACUCAGGACUUAAUGGAGUCAGAAGCUUUCAGUGAAGAUUACACAUGUGCCUUUUCACAGUUGUGUGAACAUGAGAAACACAAAGCUGGUGCUUUCAUAAAGAGCUUCUACCCAGACACUUAACUCACUGGUUAGCUUGAGAUUCCAUUACUCAGUAACCCCAAGCACAUUCUCAUAAAUGGAUUUUAUGUUGACUGCCUGUCCAUAUCAGUUCAGAGAUCAUAAUCAUGGAAGAAAGUGAAUUGACUUCACAGUGACUUUAACAGAAGUAGAAAGAUCCGCCUAUGGGUUAUAGAUCUUGCUGACCCAGUAAGGGUCAGUAAAUUAGUAGACUGCACUUGAGUUGACACUUUCUGAUCCCAACUUAAUGGGUUGAUUAACUCAUGUCUGCUAUCUUCAUUAUGGGCUAUUAGCACAUUGUUAAGCCUGAUCUUAGAGUAAGAAAUUGUUUUUAUGUUUACUUUUUGGUUCCCAAGGUUAAUCAAUAUUCUCCAUGGCCUUACUAUUUUUCUUGAAACGGAGGAAGUUAGUUAAAUAAGUCCUUCUACAGAGAAAAAAAAAUUAAUAGUAUAACUACAUAUGAAUUUGGGAUGUAAAAUAUGGAGUGGAAGAAUUUUGCAAUAUACACAAAAAUAUCAUUAGAAACACCACCUUCAAAUGUAAAAAGUAUGUAUAAUAUAUAUAUAUUAAGGAAUUUGAAUUGACAUCCUCAUUAGUAGAAUCCUGACUCUCUUAUGUGUGCAUUUAAUGACAGACACAUUUAAUGUAUGAUAUUUAAACCUCUAAUGCUGGUUUGUGGAAAUUGCUAUGUAGAAAUAGUCAAUGCCUAAGUCUAGAACUUGUCUACUAGGAAGUGUAAAUUAGAGGCUCCAGUGAGGCAGGUAUUUGUGAUCAGAAUAAGCUAGAAAUCAAUCUCUAGACUGCAUUAUUAGAUUCAUGAAGUGUUUCUUCUUUCCUGGCUUUCCUGAAGUUUCUAGAGCAUUUCAAGGUAGUUGCAGUCCUGGUAGUCUGGGUAUCAUCAGUAAGUACUCUGUAGUCUCACCAUUUCGUAAUCAGUAUGUCAUUAAUACUGGGAAAACUGCUUAAGAAGCUUGCAAGAUUUAUAUUCCCAGCCAUGUAAUAGAUUUAAGAGUUGCAUAGGUCGUUCCACAUGGAACUUCAUUCUAAACUCAAUCUGUUCUUGUGUCAGCUAGGACCCAAAGUAAUAAUUUCUGGUAGGGUUUUUUGGAUUGAUUACUUGGUAAACAUUUAUUGAAACUCAAGCAAAAACAAAAAUAUAAUGAGACCCAAGAAUUAGUCUACAGAAAAAUAUGAGGAGAAGUGGGAUAUUUUUCUCUCUCUGAAAUCAAGAUGGAGAAGGGUGUCGAGGAAGCCUGAUAGUAUCAAUAACAAGGGAAUGGUCACCCGAAUUCAUGAGAGGCCACUGAAUUUGUCAAAGAGGAGAUCAUUGAUAACUUUACGAGGGGCAUUGACUGAGGGUGUACAUCGGAGGGCAAGAUUGUGGGAGGGUGAAAAGAUUGAAAAUGGUGAGAAAACUGUGAUAGAUAAUAUUAAAUUUGAAUAUCUCAGGAUGAUGUUCUUGAAAGGUACUGUAGUUGGAAAAUCCUCAGUUCACAAGGCCAGUCUCAGAGAAAAUAGUAUCUUAGUAGAAACUAAAUUUAAAAAGUAUUAAGUACAUUUAAAACUCUAUAGCAAAUAAAAGCUGAGGAAGGCACCUGCCUUCAAAACUAGCUACAUUGUCGGCAUUAAAAGCCUGUACCAACAGGUAAUCCUCUUGAGUCAUCUUCUUGAGUCGUUCAGGGACACAUGGCUGCAGCAUUGUGAUCUGCCAAGUACAAGUCUCCAAGCUCUAGGGUACACAGAUUAUUUUUGGUUUUAAAGUGUUUGAGCCCUUUCUUACUUGAAAUUUAAUGUCCUUU